rnacentral:rRNA from 1 species
CAGUAGCCGCGGUAAUACGAAGGGUGCAAGCGUUACUCGGAAUUACUGGGCGUAAAGCGUGCGUAGGUGGUGGUUUAAGUCCGUUGUGAAAGCCCUGGGCUCAACCUGGGAAUUGCAGUGGAUACUGGAUCACUAGAGUGUGGUAGAGGAUAGUGGAAUUUCCGGUGUAGCAGUGAAAUGCGUAGAGAUCGGAAGGAACAUCUGUGGCGAAGGCGACUAUCUGGGCCAACACUGACACUGAGGCACGAAAGCGUGGGGAGCAAACAGGAUUAGAGACCCCUGUAGUCCCUGUCUCUUAUAA